GCCAGGUGUGGUGGCGCAUGCCUGUAAUCCUAGGGGCUUAGGAGGCUUAGGCAGGGGGAUCAUAAAUUCAAAGUCAGCUUCAGCAACAGCGAGGCACUAAGCAACUCAGUGAGACUCUGUCUCUA
rnacentral:sRNA from 1 species